CAGCUCCCCUAAGUUGGUAACAGACUCAAACUCUAGCUCAAGAGCCAAGUUCGUUCUAUGCUUACCUUGUCAUCUUCUCCCGUAGCUCUAUUGGCCCGCUACACCAUGACAUCAUCACUAAGGUUCACCUUCUGGACUCUGGACACAAACCCUCUCAGGAUUCUCAGCAACACUCCUAGGAGCAUCAUCAACCUGUUGAUGUCGAUCUAGGAGGCUGGUUUACUUGGAUCUCUGCCUCUCACCUCCGAGUCUCAGCCCCCUCCUACCCAAAGACCUUGGCGAAAUGUUGAUUGAGCUUUUGUGGACCAGAUAGCCUUGGAGUGGCGGGGAAAAAAAGAAGAAGUGAAGGACUUGUCUGCACUGACAGAGGAAGGCCCAGGGAGAAGUGAGGAGAUGGAAUUGGAUUUGAAGCUCUGAGGCAGGAUAUUAUCCAGGAAGUGUUGACGAACAUACAGGUGUUUUUCUGCAAGUGUGCUGCAGUGUUUCAAUGCUUCCUUCUUUGUGUCUGUCCAGUAACACCAUUUUUUAUUAGUGCUUUUUUAUAGUAAACAUCAAAUAAAGUUACAGAUAUUUCUCUGGCUGUUUUGU